AGAGUUUGAUCCUGGCUCAGGACGAACGCUGGCGGCGUGCUUAAUACACGCAAGUCGAGCGAGGUUACUGUUUUGGAUCCCUUCGGGGUGAAGAAGCUUUAACCUAGCGGCGGACGGGUGAGUAACGCGUGGGUAACCUACCCCAAAGUCCGGGAUAACAGCGGGAAACCGCUGCUAAUACCGGAUGUCUUUACCUUGGGGCAUCUUGAGGUAAAGAAAGGCAACGCUUUGGGAUGGGCCCGCGUCCCAUUAGCUAGUUGGUGAGGUAACGGCUCACCAAGGCGACGAUGGGUAGCCGGCCUGAGAGGGUGGACGGCCACACUGGGACUGAGACACGGCCCAGACUCCUACGGGAGGCAGCAGUAGGGAAUAUUGCGCAAUGGACGGAAGUCUGACGCAGCGACGCCGCGUGAGCGAUGAAGGUCUUCGGAUCGUAAAGCUCUGUCCUUGGGGAAGAAGGCGAAAGCUUGACGGUACCCAAGAAGAAAGCCCCGGCUAACUACGUGCCAGCAGCCGCGGUAAUACGUAGGGGGCGAGCGUUGUCCGGAAUUACUGGGCGUAAAGGGUGCGUAGGCGGCCCUUUAAGUCGGAUGUGAAAGCCCGCGGCUUAACCGCGGAAUGGCAUUCGAAACUGGAGGGCUUGAGUGUCGGAGAGGGUAGUGGAAUUCCCAGUGUAGCGGUGAAAUGCGUAGAUAUUGGGAGGAACACCAGUGGCGAAGGCGACUACCUGGACGAUAACUGACGCUGAGGCACGAAAGCUAGGGGAGCAAACAGGAUUAGAUACCCUGGUAGUCCUAGCCGUAAACGAUGGGUACUAGGUGUGGGUGGUUUCGAUACCAUCCGUGCCGUAGUUAACGCAUUAAGUACCCCGCCUGGGGAGUACGUGCGCAAGCAUGAAACUCAAAGGAAUUGACGG
rnacentral:rRNA from 1 species